CCCGCACAAGCGGUGGAGCAUGUGGUUUAAUUCGAUGAUACGCGAGGAACCUUACCUGGGCUCAAAUGUAUGUUGACGUAUUCUGAAAGGGAUACUUCUUCGGACAAUAUACAAGGUGCUGCAUGGUUGUCGUCAGCUCGUGCCGUGAGGUGUCGGGUUAAGUCCCAUAACGAGCGCAACCCCUAUCAUUAGUUGCCAUCAGGUCAAGCUGGGGACUCUAAUGAAACUGCCUACGCAAGUAGUGAGGAAGGUGGGGAUGACGUCAAAUCAGCACGGCCCUUACGUCCAGGGCUACACACGUGCUACAAUGGCCGGUACAAAGGGCAGCUACCUGGUGACAGGAUGCUAAUCUCAAAAGCCGGUCUCAGUUCGGAUCGGAGUCUGCAACUCGACUCCAUGAAGUUGGAAUCGCUAGUAAUCGUGGAUCAGCAUGCCACGGUGAAUACGUUCCCGGGCCUU
rnacentral:rRNA from 1 species